GUCUAUGGCCAAACCACCCUGAAUAUGCCCAAUGUCAUCUGAUCUCGGAAGCUAAGCAGGGUUGGGCCCGAUUAGAACUUGGAUGGGAGACCUGGGAAUACUGGGUGCUGUUAGCU
ensembl:rRNA 5S_rRNA 5S ribosomal RNA